GUUUAAUCAAUUUUGCUUCUUUUGCUGUUUUUAUUUUUCCUCAAUAAGUUGUUCUGUUAGCCCAGUAAAAACCUGAACAUGUGCUUUGAUGGUUUUUUUCUGUACGGUUUAAUUAGUUUUUGGAUCCUCAGGUUUUGGUUCAGUUUUGUUAGUUCACUAGAACCGUAGAUUAUUGAGUGUGAUUUGACUAUUGAGGUAUUGCUUUCCAUUUUAUUAAUGUUUGGAGAAGAUCUUCGUGUUUGCAUUAGCAGUGGAAUCUGUUGGUGGACUAAAUACUUACUCAACUAAGUAUUUAUCCCAUCAAUUUGGGGUCGGAUAUAUAAGGGUUAAAUAAUCGAAAAUGUGUAAUGCUAAAUCAUGUUAUCCUACUCUACUCAUUUUUAUU
rnacentral:misc_RNA from 1 species